CUCCAUCUUGCUCGGGCUCUCCCCGGGGCGCGCUCCCGCGCGGAGGCGCGAGCUCUCGGGCACCGGCGCGGCCCGACGGAGGCGCGUUCCUGCCGCCGGCGUGCGGGGCGGAGCGGAACAGGAAAGGGAGCUCGGGUGUCCGCCAGUCCCGGAGAGGGGUCGGCACGGUCCCUGCGGGUCCCCCAGCCGGAGCAGUAAACCCCCGCCACAAUGGAGAACAGAGGCCAAAGAGAGGGAUUGACUUGUACAAAGAGAAAGGAAGUCUGAGAACUCUCCACAGGAAGAACAGAACAGAACAGUUGUGAGCUCAAGUUGGGAACUUUAGACCAUAAGGCAAAGAUGAUCCUGGACCUGGAUGAGAGAAGCCCCCAGGGCACUUCCAGCCAAUAUCCUAGCAGAGAAAGGUCCUUUGCUGUGCAGUGGGGACACAAAGAUGAGGAAGACCCGGUCUCUGCCCUGGAGGAACUCACUGCCUAGUGCAGGAACAAGGAAACAGAUGGAGUAGAAUUAGAAUGACAGAGGUUCACUCAGAGAUUUUCAGAGCCAUGUGAAUGGGCUCGCUGGAGCUGUGAUAUUAAAUGAGUCAUUCAACUUUUUUUUUUUUUUUUUUUUUUUUGGCGGUACGCGGGCUUCUCACUGUUGUGGCCUCUCCCGUUGCGGAGCACAAGCUCCGGACGCGCAGGCUCAGCGGCCAUGGCUCACGGGCCUAGCCGCUCCGCGACAUGUUGGAUCUUCCCAGACCGGGGCAUGAACCUGUGUCCCCUGCAUCGGCAGGCGGACUCUCAACCACUGCGCCACCAGGGAAGCCCCAUUCAACUUUUGGAAUCUCAGUUGUUUCAUCUAUAAAGAGCACAUCGUUAAAAAUACGCGGCCCUCUCACCGCCACGGCCCCUCCUGCUGCAGAACACAGGCUUCAGACGUGCAGGACCAGCGGCCAUGGCCCACGGGCCCAGCCACUCCGCGGCAUGCGGGAUCUUCCCAGACCGGGGCACAAACCCGCGUCCCCUGCACCGGCAGGUGGACUCCCAACCACUGUGCCACCGGGGAAGCCCAUUUAAUGAAAAUUUUUGUUCAUUGAGCUCAAAUAAAAUCAGACAUGGAGCCUACUGCUGAUUGAACCAAACCAGCACUGUCUUAUCAGCUACAAGAGGGCUUUUUCAUUUUUUCAUUUUUCCUAUUUGCUUGACAGUUCAAUGAAGUUAUUAAAAUAAAACCUAAAUUUUCUUUAUCAAACCACAAAAAAGUCAUCAUCCUGUUCCAUGUCAUAAUUGAAAAUUAUUUACACUAUCCACCCCUUUCCCCAAAUGUACAAAAAAUUUAACUUAUUGCCAAAUGCUAAGCUUUAUUUAUGCAAUGUGCACUUAGAUUAUAACAUUUUAGUCACUAGAGUUAUCAUCCUUAAAUCUGAAAAUUUUUAACAACACUGAAAAAAUAUUGAAGAAUGACAGGCAUUAGAGACCAAUUACUUUAGAUUAUGCUUUUGAUGAAGAGAAAGAACUCUAAAAUUAUAUGUAAUUCUGUAACAGGGAAGAGUUAAAUUGGACUCCAUGUUGGAUCUGUUUCUUUGACUUUAACCUUUGCUCUUCAUUGCUUUCUUUAUUAUAAUCAUACAUAAUGGCCUGCCUCAGGGAACCCUGCCCACCUGUGAAUGGCUGCAAGAAAAAAGAAACUAACACAUCCCCUCACCAAGGCUGGUCAUUCCAGGAGAUGUUUUGCAAGACUGAUGGCCCUUCUACUUUACUUCCACACUGCCUCUCCCUCUCUAUUCUGCCUUUUUACUUUACUUCCUCACUGCCUCUGCCUCUCUGAUUCUAUAACAGAAACUGGCAUCCAGACCCAGAUAAAAUGGUUUUUCAGAGACACUAGUCUGCCAUCUUCUCAGUCUGCCUUCUUUCCGAAUAAAGUUGUAUUCCUUGCCUCAGCACCUCAUCUCCGAUUCGUUGGCCUGUCAUGUGGCAAGCGGAGAAGCUUGGACUCGGUAACAAAUUUGGCGAGCCAGCCAGGAGCCUUGCAGCUCGUGGCUAGCCGGCCCGGUCAGGGAAUAUUGGGGCAAGGCCCUAGCAGCUGCCAGGACCAUUUGUCCCGAGGAUCUUCCCUUCAAAGUUCCCUGAAGCGGCACCGGCUACCCCAGUGCUUGGCAGCUGAAGCAAAGAACCGACAGACUUCAAUUUGGGGAAUGACGGUUCCAUCUGGGAACUUCAGUUCCAAUCUGGGGAACUUCAGUUCCAUUUGGGACUACGAGUCGACAGACUCCAUUCAAUUCUGAAGGUUAAGCUCCUCUGGUGUGCAUGCUGGGAACAUAUUCCCCCUCAAUCUGGGCUUUUCCUUUACGGUACAAGCCAGUGUGGUUGGGGUUCCCUGUUGGAGGGGCGGAAUUGUUGUUGGACUCUACCUGAUUCUGGGAGCGGGUUCACUGGGAACUAGUUCGUUGGUUUUGUAGGGUAAGUCUACCUGAUCUGGGAACUAGUUCGUUGGUUUUGCUCUUGGUUUUGUUUUGGUUUUGUGUGCAUUGAUGCUAGAAUUUGUGCCUUUUGUGUUGGAAUUUGUCUGUGUCUUUUGUGUUUUGGUGUAGUCAAACUGAUAAAAAUGGGAAAUACUUCACCUAUCCCGAAGGAAAACCCUUUGGGGCAUAUAUUAGAUAAAUGGGCAAAACAUAGCCGGGAGCCUAUGACUAAGAGAGACAUGAUAUACUACUGUAAUAGGGUAUGAACCCAAUAUAUGUUAGGAUCAGAAGAACGAUGGCCCCUGAAUGGCUCACUCAAUUAUUAUAUAAUCUCGCAGAUCGAAAUGUUCUGCAAAAGAGCAGGGAAAAGAGAUGAGAUUCCAUAUAUAGGAGCAUUUAUGCUAUUGCAUCAGGAGGAAAAGGAGUCAUAGGACUGCCACCUUAUAGUGCUGUGAUCUGAAAGGAAACCCAAGGGGGAGAGGGAGAAAAUGAGAGUGGGGACAUGUUAUUUCAAAACUUAGCCCCCACCCCAGCCUACCCAGCUCCCCCAGUGACCGAGCAGGCUACACUGGCAGUUGUUCCAAAUGUCCCCACCCCCAUGCUGCCAACAUAUUCACUGCCUCCUGUUUCCCCUACCCAUUGGAAUCAAAUAGAAGUUUCUGUGGUAACACCCGGGGCACAGCGACCUGGUUUAGUAUCACCAUCUAAGACCCUACAGGGCACCCAAUUUGGACUGGGAGGCACUUCUGCAGCAGGGCAAUUUCCCUUGCCCUAAUAUCCUGUAAGAGGCCAGGGGAAUCCCUUGGACUUGAGGCAUCAGACCCUGAUUUCCCCACAGGAGUCCCCGGUAACAUUGACAGUGGGGAACAAGUUGAUUGAUUUUCUAAUAAAUAUGAGUAAUCUUAAGAGACUUGUAAAUAUUAAACAAAGGGGAAACAAAGUCAUCCUAGGAGAAACUUGCCUGUACCUUUGAGAUACAAAUGUCCUACCUGGUCUUCUCAGAAACCCUUAUCUCUGCCAUCUUUUUAAAAUGCAAAUUUUGUAAAAGAGGGUACAGUAAUUUAGAACUUGACUUGUUUACCAUAAAUAUUAGUAGAAAGGGUUUAGCCAUCUAGACAAAUGAGCUUGAUUUGUUCCAUUUGCCAGAAACCCAACUUUAAUCCAACCUCUUUUGUAAACUGAUGGGUUUUACACUACUGUACCUGACUCAGGGCUGAAAUUUUGAAAUGAGAACUAUGAUGUCUCUCUGUUUGUAUGUUUGUAUGUGUUUUUGUCUUGGAUAACAUUGCUGAGGUUAAUCUGUAAAUGAGCCUUAUUUAAUUGGCUUAAAGAAACGUAAGCCCUUACAAACCAAACAAUUCUAAAUACAAGAGAAAUUAAGGUAAAUGAGUUUCAGUUUCACGUGAACCAGGAAAUAUUUAGUAUUAAAUUAAUACCUGGUAUUAAUGUUUAAGUUUGUUGCUCUAAUUAAUAUAGACAUGUCUUUGGAGCCAUCAACAUUAAGUAUAGUACUUUCACUGCACCUAGGUUUAAUAGAAGCUAAAUGAAAUCUUGUUAUAUCUGUUGCAAAUUUGUCAGCAAGAAAAAUAACUUGAUAUGAUGAAACUUUAAAGUAAAUAUAAAUGAGAUAAGAGCUUUUAGGUAAACUCUAAGAAUAAUUAUGUUCUAAAAAUCAUCUAAAAUAGUUUCUCCAGAUUUGGUAAGUAUUACUUGCCUCUUGAUUGUCCCUAGAAAUUAAGGUUUUUAAGAAUCGGAGAUUCUAAUUUAAAUAUAGAAUUAAAGCUACUGAAAAUAAUAAAACAUUUCAGUAUGGUAGAAUGUGUGUUUUCAGUUAAGAAGGUACGAGGAAUGGAAUUACAUUUUACUAAGAAAGUUUUGUACAUGGUCAGGAUUAACUGAAUUUAGAUUGAAGUUAAAUAAGUAAAUGGAUUUCGUUAAGUAAGCUAAUACAAGACUGAAAUUUGAUCUCCCUCUCUGUUAGACUGCUCCUUUUGAUAACAGAUUAAAUGAGUUUCUGUGCCCUUAGGUGCUCCGUAUUUGUUUUUGUUUCAUCAUUUUGUGACUUGGUUAAAUGAAUAGGCACUGUUUCACAGUGACCUACAUCCUGUUGUGUUGUAAAACCUUUUUGAUAUUUUUAACAAACUUCCCAAAUAUCCAAAUCUGACUAAAGCUUUUUAGCCUCCAGCUGACUCUGGAUACUUCGAAAGAACAUCUCUGAGACAUCUCAGAGAGAGAUGUCAAACUAAGUUUAUUUGGUAUGUUAAGUUACUUCAGAAACAUCGUAAAGUGAUUGGAGAUGAACCUUAGAUUAUAGUGUAUGGAUAAAUGUCAUUUAUAUAGAUAUUCCAAAAUUUAUAUGGAAUUCCUAACAUCUGGUAUGUCCUGAUAUGUUAACAAUCAUAAUACUAGUUAUUCUAAAAUGUUAUAUCCAAGAAUCCUGCUAAUUGCAUUGUACUCAAAUUUUUAACCAUGCUAUUUUGUUUUUUGUCCUGAUGCUUUUACAAAAUGAAGAUUUUUCAAGAAGACUGAUAAAAAGGAACUUUUUAACAAAUAUAAGUUUCUUAUAGCCUUUAGAUAAUAUCACUGAACUGGGUAACAAAUGACAAAACUAAUAGUAAACUGAUUAUUUCAUCCAGAUCAAUGGGAAUUAAUUACAUGGGACUGAGUGAACUGGUAAAUAUGAUUUAUAACUUUAUGCCUUUAGGAAAUAUAUUGACUUUAAUCUUUGUUUUUAGGAAAAAACUUUUAUGCUAUAACCUUAUGCUAUGACCUACAACAAGUUGAUAAAGUAUGCCUUUUUAAACAAAGAUGAAACAUUUAUCUUUUUCUCUCUACCUGAUCCUGACAGAAUUUGUUGUCUCCAGCUGGUUCUCCUAUGGACUUGAUAUUAUGCUAGUCAUUGUUUUAAUUUGUUCUUUAUUUCCAAAUUGUUUGUGCUUUGUGUCUCCCUGCUGCAGUAUGUCUUUGUCAAUGUUACUAGCUGUUACUUAUAUCCUAUUUUAUAAGAUUGUUGUCUCUUGCAGUACCCAGUGUGUAACCAGGCCUCCAACAAAACGUCUAUGGCUAAACAUCUUAAGGAAAUAGAUCACUUUUAUACCAUAAAAAUAAUUUUAAUAAUGUGGUUCUAGGUAUGGGAAGAAGCAACAAGCGAAAAUGUCUCCUGGAUCAUAAUUAGACAGAGGAUCCAGAGAAUCUUUAAUUAUCAAUAGGGCCUAAUCCAAAAGUUAGCACCUGGAGUGGCAUAUCAAGAAUUUUCGCCUGAUCUGGGAUGAGCCUCCCAGCACCAUGGGACAAAAUUUGAUCAUGAAAUGUCUCCCAAAUAUUGGUCAAAUUCCUGACCAAGAGGAGAGGAUCAAUCAUCAGCAAUUGCAGCCCCCCAGUGUGAGCCAGUGAACACUGAGGAAACUCAGGAAGAAGAAGAAUACCUGCCAUCUAGCAGCCAUCAGACUGCAGCCACUCCCUAUGGUGAGCCCUGAGGAAACGCAGGAUGUGAAAAUACAGGAUACAGGCCCCAUCUGGGCUGUGGUGCAUAUCAAAGAAAUUAUUUCAGUGAGCCCAGAGUCUAGCAUCUUCCCAUACAUAGAAAAAUGCUAAAUUUCUUAACUUGAGAUGCAGCCUCCUGGGCUUGAAGCCCUCAAAAUUCCUGACAACUCUCAACUUUUAGGUUGUGAAUAUUUGUAAGUCUACAGGUGUCAAGUAGACACUUCCAAAGCGGAACAAAAGACAAAUCUCAGCAUCUGGAACACUGACACCGAUUGCGGACACUCCCAGAAAGAUCCAUCUGACCGAGCAGUUAGAACUUUGUCACCCCUUUUUCCACAAGAUUGUAGAAUGGACAUUGACAGUGGGAAAUUGUAACAGGGAAGAGCUAAAUUGGACUCCAUGUUGGAUCUGUUUCUUUAACCUUUCCUUUGCGUUGCUUUUGUUAUUACAAUCAUACAAAAUGGCCUGCCUCAGGGAACCCUGCCCACCUGUGAAUGGCUGCAAGAAAAAAAAAAAAAACAUCCUCUCACUGAGGCUGGUCAUUCCAGGAGAUAUUUUGCAAGACUGAUGGCCCUUUUACUUUACUUCCUCUCCGCCUCUCCCUCUCUGAUUCUAUAAAAGAAACUGGCAUCCAAACCCUGAUAAGAUGAUUUCUCAGAGACACUAGUCUGCCAUCUUCUCCAUCUGCCGGCUUUCCUGAUAAAGUCGUAUUCCCUGCCUCAACACCUUGUCUGCGAUUCAUUGCCCUGUUGUGCGGUGAGCAGAGCGAGCUUGGACUCGGUAACAAUUCCAAAAAAUAAACACUUCUGAUAUGUCGAGGUUUUUAAGAUUUUCAGUUUUAUUUUUUUCUCAAAAGCCUAGUCAUAUUUUUUAAGAUAUUUAAUCUGUGAAUACAAAACCCUGAAUCUUAAAAAAGCUAAGGGUUUGGGGUUUUUACAACUAUAUAACCUCUGUACUUGCCUUUGAAGUCUUUACUUGUCACUUUGGUUAAAUGGAUAUUUUUAAAAAAUAUUUAUUUAUUUAUUUUGGCUGUUCGGGGUCUUAGUUGCUGCACGCAGGCUCUUAGCUGUGGCAUGCAUGCGAGAUCUAGUUCCCUGACCAGGGAUCAAACCCGGGCCGCCUGCAUUGGGAGCGCAGAGUCUUACCUACCCACUGGGCCACCAGGGAAGUCCCUUAAAUGGAUAUUUUUGACAAACUUCCCCCAAAUCAAAUUCUUUCUUUUUUUAAUAUAUCCAAUUUAAAAAAAAAUUAUUUAUCUAUUUUUGGCUGUGUUGGGUCUUCGUUGCUGCGUGCGGGCUUUCUCUAGUUGCUGUGAGCAGGGGCUACUCUUCUUUGUGGUGCGCGGGCUUUUCAUUG